GAUGAACGCUGGCGGCGUGCCUAACACAUGCAAGUCGAGCGAACGGACGAGAAGCUUGCUUUUCUGAUGUUAGCGGCGGACGGGUGAGUAACACGUGUAUAACCUACCUAUAAGACUGGGAUAACUUCGGGAAACCGGAGCUAAUACCGGAUAAUAUUUUGAACCGCAUGGUUCAAAAGUGAAAGACGGUCUUGCUGUCACUUAUAGAUGGAUCCGCGCUGCAUUAGCUAGUUGGUAAGGUAACGGCUUACCAAGGCAACGAUGCAUAGCCGACCUGAGAGGGUGAUCGGCCACACUGGAACUGAGACACGGUCCAGACUCCUACGGGAGGCAGCAGUAGGGAAUCUUCCGCAAUGGGCGAAAGCCUGACGGAGCAACGCCGCGUGAGUGAUGAAGGUCUUCGGAUCGUAAAACUCUGUUAUUAGGGAAGAACAUAUGUGUAAGUAACUGUGCACAUCUUGACGGUACCUAAUCAGAAAGCCACGGCUAACUACGUG
rnacentral:rRNA from 1 species